UCUCAGGCCUUAGCUCCUAGAAGACAUUUCUAGACACAUCCUGGGCUAGAAGGAGACCUACUGCCUUGAAGGGAAGGACCUGUUUUUGGCAGGAUUCUUCACCUGCUGACUAAAGAGCCCUUGAUAUCCACAUACAAAAUAAUGAAACUAGACCUGUAUCUCUCACCAUACACAUGGAUUAAAUGAAAAUGGAUUGAAGAAUUAAAUGUAAGACCUCAAACUAUGGAACUACUACAGGAAAACACUGGGGAAACUCCCUAGGACAUUGGACUGGGUAAAGAUUUCUUGAGAAAAAUACCUCCAAAACAUAGGCAACCAAAGCAAAAAUGGACAAGUGGGAUCAUGCCAAGUUAAAAAGCUGCAAAGCAAAGAAACAACAAAGUGAAGAGACAACCCAGAGAAUAAGAGAAAAUAUUUGCAAAC
rnacentral:lncRNA from 1 species